rnacentral:rRNA from 1 species
CGUGAGAUGUUGGGUUAAGUCCCGCAACGAGCGCAACCCCUAUCUUAUGUUACCAGCACGUUAUGGUGGGGACUCAUGAGAGACCGCCGCGGACAACGCGGAGGAAGGUGGGGAUGACGUUCAAGUCAUCAUGCCCCUUAUGACCUGGGCUACACACGUACUACAAUGGGUGUCAACAAAGAGAAGCGAAGCCGCGAGGCAGAGCAAACCUCAAAAACACACCCCCAGUUCAGAUUGCAGGCUGCAACCCGCCUGCAC